rnacentral:ncRNA from 1 species
GGAUCGGGAGGCUUCCGGUGGGACGGAAGCCAGGAAUAGACCGGAACUUAUCCGCUCUCAGACGGGCGCUGUGCCGCAGCCCAACGGCAUGGAC